UUUCCCCCUUGUAUUCAACCCAAAAAAAACACUGACUCUGAAAAGAUCAGUCUGUGUAUAAUAGAAUGAGAGAGUCCCCUCAUCCCUAUACGUAAGGUUUAAGAGUCCCCACACUUCCAACGGUCAUCCUAUAGGUACCCUCCAUCUCUCCCUUCUUCUUUUCUCUUCUUCUUUCUUUCUUUGUUUGCUUCUUUUUCUUCUUUCCUUUGUUUCUUUCUUUCACUUCUCCCUUCUUUCACCUUUCAGUUUCUUCUUUCUUUCUUUCACUUCUCCCUUCUUUCACCUUUCAGUUUCUUCUUUCUUUCUUUCUUUCCUCCCUUUUCUUCUCCCUUCCUUUUUUUCUUCUCCCUUCCUCCUUUUCUCUCUUUCAUUUUCUUGUUUUUCUUUUCUUUUUCUUCUUCUUUUACCGCAU
rnacentral:lncRNA from 1 species